CACUGAGUGUCUAGUGGUAUGAUUCUCGCUUUGGCUGCGAGAGGUCCCGAGUUCGAAUCCCGGUUCGGCCC
rnacentral:tRNA from 1 species